rnacentral:lncRNA from 10 species
UUUUUCAAAUAUCCUCUGAACGUUGACUUAGGUGCACACACCUGUGCUUCCAUUGGCAACAAAAGCUUUGAAUGCACAGGACUUCCACGGCAUGAAAUGCAUUUACAUACAUUACAUAAGAGAGAAGCAAUGAGCAAGUCUGUUGCUGGGAGAGGCUCACAUCCUUCUCACCAAAUCAAUCUGUAACUUUCAAAUAGCUCUGCUGUAUUUCCUAGCAACAGGAGUAAACACUGUACUACAUCCAGUGCCCAAGAUUUGUAACCACGUUAAUCUGUUAGAAGCCUAGAUGUGUGACUGGAGAUGCCUCCUGUCCAUUCAAUCUGACUCCAAUGUGGUUCUGCAGCACUGGACAAAGAUGGGAGAUUGAAACAGGAGCCCCUGCGAUGGGGGAACAGAGCCAGGGAGCAGGGGUUGGACAGGAACCCAGGUUUGAGAAAACAACCUUGUGAACCUUCUAUUGGAGCAGCAAUAAAGAUCUGAGCUAAGUGUCGAGGGAGGCUGAGGAGGUGGUCACUAAGUCUGUCUUAGGCAUCCCAGGGUCUCCUCAGAGUCCAAGCCUGAAGUCCACUGCAGGGGUCACCAGCCACCUGUGGCCACAUUGGAAUGUGGCCAUUCUGAAUUGAGGAUUGAUGACCAAAGAAGGCAGCUAUAAUGUUUUAUUCUCAAGAUGAUGGUUACUCAUCUUAGAAUAAAAACAACAACAACAAAAAAUAACAGAUGAAUGGGAAGAGCCCAAUCAAAGCUUUAUUCUACUCCUCAACAACUCAGGAGUUAAGCCUAAAGCUGCAGAUGAAAAUUUUGCCACCAUGAAGAAAAGAAGAAAUCAGAAUUGGAUUCUUUCUGAACUUUUCCUUUACAGUAGCCAGUAUAUGCCCUUUCCUACUUGAGCAAGUAUAAACUGGGUUUCUGUGAUUUGCAACCAAGUGUCCUGACAAACACAAGGAUGAAAGACAACUGUGUCUCAAUAAAGGAAAAAUAGUUUAUUUUUAUGAGUGGUGGAUUUAAAAAACCUACAUUACUGUGACAAGAGUACCUUAAAACAUUUAAGUCUACAAAAGGCACUUAGGGACUUUAUAGCAAACUCUACACUUAUAAUGAAAAGCCAGACCAGAUCAUUUUAAAAAAACGUUACUGCACGAGAUAAUGGCACAUCCACUCGUUCAAUUAACAUUUAUUGAGUGUCUUCAGGGGUUUUAGACUUGUGCAAUAAAAAUGAUAAAAACGUAUUCUUUGGUUUGAGCUGGUCCAUCCAAGGUCGUUCCAUAAAGAGCAGCUGUGUAUGCUGUUCAGACUAAUUGUGUGAAGCUGGAGAGGCCAGGUGUUUCUGUCUGGCCCAGCAGCUGCACUUUGCGGUAAGGGCACCACCUGAAUUUCAGUCUGGCCAUAAAAUGAGGCUGAAGAAACAGCACCUUGCAUGAGCUUUUAGGUGAAAGGCAGAACAG